ensembl:lncRNA
CCUGGGGAUUCAGUUAGGUUUGUAUGCAGUCUGUUGAUAUACCAGGGACUGGGGAUGCAGUUAGGUUUGUAUGCAGUCUGAAGAUAUAUCAGGGCCUGGGGAUGCAGUUAGGUUUGUAUGCAGUCUGUUGAUAUACCAGGGCCAGGGAUGCAGUUAGGUUUGUAUGCAGUCUGUUGAUAUAUCAGGGCCUGGAGAUGCAGUUAGGUUUGUAUGCAGUCUGUUGAUAUAUCAGGGCCUGGAGAUGCAGUUAGGAUUGUUUUGCACUAUCAUCUCACUCAUUUCAAAUCAGCACCAAUCAAUCAAACAC